rnacentral:rRNA from 1 species
UUCUGGUUGAUCCUGCCGAAGGCUACUGCUAUUGGAGUUCGAUUAAGCCAUGCGAGUCUAAGGGAUCUUCGGAUCCCUGGCGUAAUGCUCAGUAACACGUGGAUAAUCUACCCUCAGGUGGGGCAUAAACCCGGGAAACUGGGGCCAAUUCCCCAUAAAUACAGAUGGCUGGAAUGCUUCUGUAUUCAAAGCUCCGGCGCCUGAGGAUGAGUCUGCGGCCUAUCAGGUUGUAGUCAGGGUCAAGACCUGACUAGCCAGCGACGGGUAUGGGGUGUGAGAGCACUUGCCCAGAGAUGGUUUCUGAGACACGAAACCAGGCCCUACGGGGCGCAGCAGGCGCGAAAACUUCGCAAUGCGGGAAACCGUGACGAGGGAACUCCGAGUGUCUAUGCAUUGCAUAGACUGUUUUUUAGCCUAAAUAGCUAUUAGAGUAAGGGGUGGGCAAGACCGGUGCCAGCCGCCGCGGUAACACCGGCACCCCGAGUGGUAGCCACUAUUAUUGGGCCUAAAGCGUUCGUAGCCGGUUUGGUAAAUUCUUGGGUAAAUCGUACCGCUCAACGGUGCGGAUUCCGGGGACACUACCAGACUUGAGACCGGGGGAGAUCAGAGGUACUUGCGGGGGAGCGGUGAAAUGUUGUAAUCCCGCAGGGACCACCAGUGGCGAAGGCGUCUGAUCAGAACGGCUCUGACGGUGAGGAACGAAACCCUGGGGCGCAAACGGGAUUAGAUACCCCGGUAGUCCAGGGCGUAAACGCUGCUGACUUGGUGUUGGGGAUCCUACGAGGAUGUCCAGUGCUGGCGCGAAGGUAUUAAGUCAGCCGCCUGGGGAGUACGGUCGCAAGACUGAAACUUAAAGGAAUUGGCGGGGGAGCACUGCAACGUGUGGAGCGUGCGGUUUAAUUGGACUCAACGCCGGAA